rnacentral:pre_miRNA from 14 species
AUUUAAAAAUGGAAAUAGAAACAAUAAAGAAAUUGAAAGAUCCCACGCAGAGAGACCCUUACUCAAGUCUUGGGAAAUCGCGGACCCCAGACACAGAGAGACCA